UACGAGGGGGGCGAGCGUUGUUCGGAAUUAUUGGGCGUAAAGGGUGCGUAGGCGGUUCCGUCAGUCGGGUGUGAAAACUCUGGGCUCAACCCAGAGACGCCACCCGAUACUGCGGUGACUAGAGUACGAAAGAGGAUCGCGGAAUUCCCGGUGUAGAGGUGAAAUUCGUAGAUAUCGGGAGGAACACCGGUGGCGAAGGCGGCGAUCUGGGUCGAUACUGACGCUGAGGUGCGAAAGCGUGGGGAGCAAACAGG
rnacentral:rRNA from 1 species